UUUUUUUUAGCCUCCUUAGAAUUUUUUUUUCAUAAAUAGUCUUAGAAAAUUUAUAUUUACAAAAUUAAUACUAUUCUCACCAUACAAAAGCCACGUAAGCAUCACAUGAGUAUGGCGGAUUAAGUUGAACACGAUAAAUUAUUCACCGCAUUUGAAUAUGGUGAAUAUAUUUACCGGAUUUGAAUAUGGUGAAUAGUUUGGCAUGUCCUUUCUGUAUUUUACUUAAAUCGUAUCCUUUUCAUAUUCGCCGUAUUUAUUGUAUUGAAUAUUGUAUAAGUUAAGUUGAAUACGGUGAACUAUUAAUCGUGUUAAAAUAAAGUGAAUGAUUUAUUAUGUUCAACUUAAAUCUUGAACUGCCAGCCACGCUCACGUGGUACUUGAGUGACGCUUGCGUAGCGGGGAUAGGGUCAAUCUUGCAAUAUAAAUUUUAUGAGACUAGAGCAAUAGAGCAAGUGGUAAAGGACUUGGUGGUUGGUAUCCGAGACCCAAGUUCAAAUUCUAGUUGAUUCACAUUUUCAGCUAAGUUUAUUUCUAAAUAAAAUAAACGAAGCGGGUAGCAUGCUACCUAUUUCUCAAAAAAAGAAAAAAAAAAUUAUGAGACUAUUUAUAAAUUUUUUUUUUUUUGAGGGAGUUAAAAGCAAAAAAAAAACCUAUUAAAAAAUGAGUGUGAAUUUUAUAUUCUUAUCAUCCAAGAAUCACAUUUUUACAUUUUAAUACUAAAAUUCGGAGAGGGGUUAUGAGUUAUAUGAACCCCUCAGUCAAAGUUACAUAUUUUAUAUAAAAUUUGUAGCAUUAAAUUAUAUUCCUUAUUGCACAAUGGUACAAGAAUUAUUUUUUUAAAGCCCUAUUUUAUAUAUUAUGCAGUUAUCUUAUUAUUUCUGAUUGAAUUCUUUUCUAUUCUAUUCAGCAUAAUAUAAUUGUGGGACCAUUUAAUUAUCUAUUUUUGUUAAAAAAAUGAUCACUACUAAAUUAGCAAAGUUUAGGCCUUGCUUAGUGUAGAGACACCAUUUUUUUUAUUCCUUUAAUAAAAUUUUUAUACAAAAAUAAGGUUUAAAAGUGGAACGCAGAUUAUUUGUAAUUCGCGCAUAUGGCAAAAGAAAAAUAAAUAAAAUUUGUAAGUGAUUUUUUUUUCUUUUUUUUCCCAAAUAAAAUAAAAAAUAAAAUAAAAUAAUUGAUCCAAUCAGUAAAAAUGAAAUUGAUUUUAAAUAAAAUUUAGUGUCUUAUAAUUAAUCGCUUCGAAGAAAAGUAUAAUCAUAAAAGUAUAAAUAAUCUUACUGCAAUUAUUAUUAUUUUUUUUAAAGUUCUUUUCCAUGGUUCUCAAUCAAAAAACUCUUAUAAAUACUUUUAGCAGAAAAUACAGGAUUCGGCGCCGACAACCCCUCCAUCGCCGACUUCUACUGGACCCACCACUGCACCAAAACCUCAGCCCAAGGUAAUUAAUUAAUACAUAUUAAAAAAUUAAAAACUAGCGGAGAACGGUAUUUUUAAUAUUUAUAUUCAGCAACUGAAAUUAUAUGCUGACUCGGCUCCAGGUGAGCACCAAAUUCUCGGACGUGCUGGCGUUCAGCGGGCCGGCGCCGGAGCGGAUCAACGGGCGGCUGGCGAUGGUGGGGUUCGUGUCGGCGGUGGCGGUCGAGGUGGCGAAGGGCGACGGCAUCUUCGCGCAGCUGUCGAACGGCGGCGUGCCGUGGUUCCUCUUCACCGCCGCGCUGCUCUCCGUCGCGUCCCUCGUCCCCUUAUUCCGAGGCGAGAGCGUGCAGUCGCGUUCCGGCGCGGUCAUGAGCGCCGACGCCGAGCUCUGGAACGGCAGGUUCGCCAUGCUAGGGUUGGUGGCGUUGGCCUUCACCGAGUACGUUAAGGGAGGGCCCCUUGUGUAAAAUGUAAUAAAUUAAACUAAACGUAUAUACGUGUGAUUUUAUGUUCAUGCAGUGUUGUAUACUGCAUGUAUAUGCGUACGUACAAUUGUGCAAAAGUACUACGUACCUAAAAAAUAAUUAGGGCCUGUUUGGGUACUUUUCAAAAUAAAAUAAUAAUUCAAUUUACGGUGUAUUAUUUACAACUCUUGAAAUAUUAUAAAGGGUUUCUGUUUGGAUACGUUUUGAAAUUGUAAAAAAGAAUAAAGUAAUGAUCAACUCAAAGCGAAAAUUUUUUGUAGAAAGAAAAAAAAUAAAUCACUCUUUUCUUUUCUAGAUAACGCUCAUCCCACCUCCGCCGUCACCACAUGCUGACCUCUUACUCUUCUUCUUCUACCUCUACUCUACUAUCUCCUCCUCGAGAUUGUGACAUUUUUCUUCACCAUCGGCAAUCGUCGCCGCUCUUUGACCUCUUACUCUUCUUCUUCUACCUCUACUCUACUAUCUCCUCCUCGAGAUUGUGACAUUUUUCUUCACCAUCGGCAAUCGUCGCCGCUCUUUGACCUCUUACUCUUCUUCUUCUUCUACAUCUACUAUCUGCUUCUCGAGAUUGUGAUAUUUUUUCUUGUCGUCAGCUCUCACUGUUGCCCACGAGUGCUCCUGCUCCGAGACGGGACACUAUACUAGUGAAUUUUUCGUAUUGGGUUGUCACGGCGGAGGGUGAUGAUGAAGGUGGGAGGGAUGGGAAGAUGGUGGGUUUAAGCAAGAAAGGAGAAGGUGGUAGGGGUGGAUUUGAGCAAAGAGAAGGUGGUGGGAGUGUAUUUUUUUUAUUAACAUUACUUCUUUUUUUUUUCAGAUUUGAACCAAAUAUUAAAAAAAGGAGUAAAAGAUUAUAGAGUUUUAUAUUAACCUAUUACAGUAAGGUUUUUAUAUUAACCUAUUACAGCAAAAUAUCAAACUCUAUUUUAAAUUUCUACCAUUGCCAAACAGCUCUUAAUUAAAGAGUACUGUAAUGGGUUUAGAAUAGUAAUUAGAGAGUAGACUUGGCAAUCUCGACCCAUAUCCGCGGGUUACCCGCAAAUUUACGGGUAUGGGUACCAAUUUUUUCAACCCAAAAAAUUACGGGUAAAACGGGUGGGUACCCAUUAAGCUGUGGGCAUUUUGGGUAACCCGCGAGUACCCACGGGUAUCCGCACAUAUAUUUUUUNGGGUUACUUGAGCAUGGGUAAAAUUUACCCACAAAUUUUUGGAUAGCCAACAUCAUUACCCAUACCUACCCGCGGGUGAGCGGGUGGGUAUGCUGGUUACCCGCAAAUUUUUUUCUUUUUUUCUCUUAUAUUUUUUAAAUGCAAAAUACAUAUAUAUAAGUUUUAAAAAUAUAGCAUAACUUAUUAUUUAAAAUAUCAUAACAUACAAUAAAAAUAUUUAAAGUCUUAAAGCUUAAAAUUUUCGUAAUAUAAAAGACGCGAUAAAAAAUUAGAGUUAGAAUUUAUAGGAUGAGUAAAUAAAAAUAUAUAUAUUUUGCAUUUAAAAAAUAUAAGAGAAAAAAAAAAUUGCGGGUAACCCGCAUACCCACCCGCCCACCCGUGGGUGGGUAUCGAUAAUGAUGUUGGCUACCAAAAAAUUUAUGGAUAAAUUUUAUCCAUACCCAAAUAACCCGUGGGUACAAUAACCCGCCCGCAGGUUACCAAACCCGCCCGUUUGCCAGGUCUAUUAGAGAGUGAUUGAAGGAUAUAUAAGAGUGAUUAAUCUACUCAUGCAACUAAGUAAUUGCUUGCAACAUCCUUUGCUUUUAUUUUUAUUACGAAAUUGUUUUCAAUGAUGCGGCUUCCAAAUCGACGAUCGGCUUCGUUAGGCUUGAUCUACAUUGUUGAAAGUAUUUGGAAACUAAAUUUCAUAACUUUUCGGCCUCAUGUACCUAUCAAACGAGUGAUUUAAAAAUGAACGGUUGAAAAUAAAAAUUUCAUAAAAAAUGAUAAUAAAAGACUUGAAUUUAAAAUUAAAGAUACUGAUCUUACUCUAAAUAGUGAAAAAAAAAUUUUAUAAAAAAUUCAUCAGAUUUGGAUUGUUUUACACCAUUGAAUUUACAAACGCAUCACAUCUACCAUUAAAAUUGUCAAUUUUGGGACCUUUUGAUCACUAGCCAAAUAAUGUAGAACAAUAAUGAAAUUUAGUUUUCAAAUACUUUUAAUAGUGUAGAUCAAAUCUAACGGAGCUGAUCGUCGAUUUAGAAGUCACAUCAUUGAAAACAAUUUGGUAGUAUGAAGGCCUGAUCCGUACUACCGAUAGUAUACCAGUUUAGCUCAAAAAAUAUUAUAUUUUUUUAUUAAUAACAUGAUGUAGUAUUGAUUAUAAUAAUUCAGCUGCAAUAUAAUUUAUGCCAUACCACUAGCUAGAAAACAGAGGAGAUCUUUUUACAUCUAUUUUCUUACUUCUCUUUGGCUCAAUUGUAUCGAACCCCACUAUACAUGAGCAUUUAGUGAUCAAAAGUUAAUAAUAAAUACUAUUCCAAUAAUAUUAUUGGUAGUAUUCUAGCUCCAUGAGUAGAGUUCCUACACUUUCAGAAAUAUAAGGGAAUUGGUUUUUUCAACUUUUUUGGCUCUUGGCUUUUUGAUCAUUUUUUAUCUUUAGAUUAAUAUUGUUAUUCUAAGGGAACUACUCAAUACUAUAAUAAAAUAUAUUUUAGGCGACGCUUUUUAGACCAUUAUGUUCUAGCAUUUUUAAUAUUUAGUAUGCGCCGACACUAUAAUUAAAUAUAUUUUUAUCAAAUACUCAUAAAAAAUUUUCGACCCUAUAUUAAAGUGUCGGUAUAUUCAUCCCGAUAUAUUUACUUAACGACUUUUUGUUCAACACUUUUAUAAACGUCGGGUUAUUUUUGUUGACGUUUUAAAAUAUCACUAGUUAUUGUUUAAAGUAUCCUUAAGUGUAAGAUUUAUUGUAGUGCAAUCUUAGGAGACCACUCAACUCUAAGGUGGACCACUAUCAUCCAAAUCCUAUAAAUUUUUAUCCAAGGGUCAAAAAGUCAGAAGCAUUAACUCCUUUAUAUUUUCGAUAAUAUAGUAGCUCCACACACACACACUAUAUAUAUAUAUAUAUAUGUAUAUAUAUAUAUAUACAUAUGUAGGCUAGAGAUACUUGUAAAGUAUCUAUGGGGUGAUAACAUUAAUGAUGUUUUAGGCUCUGGUGGAGAGAUUGAGGUUGAACUGAUAGUGGACUGGUGUGAGUACGUGGUGGAGGUGGAAUAGUGUUUAAUCAAAAGGUAUUAAUAAUGCAAAAAAUAGAUCAAUGCUUAAAACCUAAUAGCACGCAUGCAUGGUACGACUUCUAUCGUACAACCGUAUCAUAGUCAAUUCUAUAUAUAUAUAUAUGUGCAGCUAUUAUACUUUUAUGAGUACGAUCAUCCUUCACGUACUCAAAAGUUAUUUCGAAUGAUAAUAGAGUUUUUGAAAUCGACGAUUCAUACCGCUAAACGUUAUCUUAGAGCAUUUAAAAUUAACUUUUAGAAAUAAAUUUUAUAAUUUUUUGAAUUAUUAUUUACUUUCCGAUAAAAAAUCUCAUUAUUUUUUUGGAAAAAUAAAUCUCAAAAUUGAAAUAAGUUUUGGCGGUUGCUAAAUGCUUAAAUUAACUGUUGGUAAUUGCAGCACUCUUUUAGGUUAUAGCAACACUCUUUAACUGUCACUAAUACCUAGCGACCACCAUAUGCACAAAUUAUAAUAAGUGUCGAUAAUUUUAGCUAGCAGCACUUUUUGACAUGUACCUAUAUUUAAAAGUGUUGCUAUAGAUCGUUUUGGUGUAGUGUAUUCCAAUAUUACUGGUAAUUCUAGCUCUAUGAGUAGAGUUCUACACUUCCAGAAAUAUAAGGAGUUGGUUUUUUCAACCUUCUUGGCUCUUGGCUAUUUUAUCAUUAUUUAUCUUUGAAUUAAUAUUAUUAUCCUAAGGAGACUACUCAAUACUAUAUAAUAUAUUUUAGGCGACGUUUUAGACCAUUAUGUUCUAGCAUUUUUAAUAUUUGGUAUGCGCCGACACUAUAAUUAAACAUUACCAAUAAAUAUAUUUUUAUCAAAUAUUCAUAAAAAAUUUUCUGACCCUGUAUUAGUGAUCGAACUAUUCAUUCAUCCGAUCUAUUUACUUGAAGCGACUUUUUGUUUCACACCUUUAUUAUCGGGGUUAUUUUGUUGACGUUUUAAAAUAUCAUAGUUAUUUGUUAUAACAGUAACAUUAAUAUAUCCAGAAUUAUUGGUAUGUGCAAUCCUUGGAACCUACUCAAGACUCUAAGGUGACCAAUAUCAUGCCAAAUCCAUCCACCAGAAUCCUUUUGACAGCCAAGCCCGGGGGCGUGCGAUCCAAAUCGAAACAUUCACAACACCUCGGGCUAUUAACCUCCUCUAAGUAGUUUCGCCGGAUAAUUAGCAUAGCAGCCCCGCAGCAGCCCACGCCACACACGAGCUCACUUCCGCGCUUAUAUUAUAUUAUAUAGUGCUAUAUACUAUACUAUAAAGUCAAAUGUAGUCACUAUAUACCAUAAUGCUUAUAACUCCACAUCGCAGUAGUAUAUACUAGCGUUAGCACCCGUAUGUAUAGUAUAUAUAUAUAUAGAUGUAUAUAUAAUGUAUAUAUAUGUAUAUUAUGUAAUAUAUAUGAUAUGUUACUCAGAAUAUAUGUAAUGUGUAUAUCAGUAUAAGCUGUAUAGCUAUAUACUGUAUCACUAUCAUAUAUAUAAUGUAUAUAUAUAUAUAUAUAGUAUAUAUAUAUAUAUUAUAUAUAUAUAUAUAUAAUAUAUAUUAUAUGCAGGCUAUUAUACUCUUAUAUACGAUAUCUUCGUACUCAAAAGUUAUUUCCGAUGAUAUAUAGAGCUUUUGAAUCGACGAUUCAUACCGCUAAACGUUAUCUAGAGCAUUUAAAAUUAACUUUUAGAAAUCAAAUUUUAUAAUUUUUUGACAUUAUUUACUUUACGAUAAAAAAAUCUCAAAUUUUUUUUUGAGAAAAAUAAAUCUCAAAAUUGAUAAUUUUUAACGGCCGGUAUAGAAUGCUUGCUAGUUAACGGUGUAAAAGAAUCGGAAUCGGUUGAAUUUUUGAUAGAAAAUUCUAUUCGCUAUCUAGAUAAAGAUCAAUAAUUCCGAUUUUAAAUUGAAGGCUCCGAUCAUCCAUUUUUAAGAUGUCGUUUGAUUUUAACCAUUCAUUCUAUGACCAUUUGAUGGACUUUAUUAUGAUUUCGAAUAAUUACGAAAUUUAUUUUUUAAAAGUUUUAAAUACUCUGGAUCAUAUUUAACAGAAUGGAUCGUCGAUUCGAAAGCUCUAUCAUUAAUUAAAAAUAACUUAUGAAUAUAAAAGACUCUAUACGCAUAAGAGUACAGUAGUUCUACUCUCUCUCUCCAUACAAUUUCAUAAAGCAAGAAGCACUUUAUUAAUGCAAAAGUACGCAAAACACAGUAUAAGACAAGUUACAACAAUAGGACUAUAUAUAAGUUUCCAUCUGCGAAUUUAUCAUAGAGGCAAACAUAGUGCAAGACACAAGCUACAACAACAUGAGCAUAUAUGAAGUCUCUUUCUGCUAAUUUAUCAUAUUCUAUCAUAGUAUUCAAGCAAACAGUAGGAUCUUAUCAAGCAAUCGCAAAACCCUUAUGUUAAGCAGCGGAUUCGGUGUUCUUCCUCGGAGUAUUCGCAUACUUCCAGGUCGAAGACUCGUUCGCAGUUCGCAAACCUACAACCUCUUCCUCGCGCACUGCGUCGCGUAUUUCCUUCACAUCUUCUUCAGUGAGCUUCACUUUCAAUGAGCCAAUGUUGUUAUCCAGGUUCUUGAUCUUGGUUGUCCCUGAAAACAUUAGGAUUUAGGAAGCAGAUAUAGUGUCACAAAAUAUAUGAGCCAAUUGAUCAAAGAGCUAGCUCUACUUGAGCGAAAAUUUCGAGCCAAUUCAAACACGAUUGAGCUUAAACUUUUGAUUAAUUAGUCGUUUUAUGUUGACACUAUUAGGAUUUGGUUAGAUUUAUAGUUAAAUUCUAGUUGAAUUAGAAUUAAUAUUUAAAUCUAUUGAAGAUAAAAUAAUUAAAGUCUAAAUAUUAAUUAGGGUAUAAAUUUAAUUUGACUAAAAUUUGGGUAGUUUGAUGUAAUUAUAUGUAAGGCCCCAUGUAGUCCUAUGUAUAAGAUAUUAUAGGGCAAAUUUCUUAACCCGGCUAUAACAUUUUGAGUGGUGGCUAGGCCGAAGAUGUUAAGAGAGUUAAGCGUGUUAGGGUCAGAGUAGUCCUAGAAUGGAUGACUCUCUGAGAAGUGAGACGUCACAUUAUAAAUAUAGCAAAGGUGUUAUUAUCUUGGUGGUGGUGGUAUGAUUUAUUUUGGUGGUGGUGAUACGGUUUUGCCACACCCAUACGGCAUGACUAAAGUGGUCAUAAUUUUGGUUGCACCUAGCGCAUGGGUGUAAAAGGAUGUAUAUGUGCGGCUUUCAUAACCGUGGGUCAUUGGUAUACCUUGUGCAGAGUGCACAGGAUGAGAGAGAAGUCUUUUGGAUUUAUAAAAGACGAGAGAGGACAAGAGAUUUAGAAAGAGGGUUGGAGUUGAAACAACUCUGUAUAAAAGAGAAGUCAGGUGCAAUUCUUUUCUUGAUCGGUAAAUCUUAUUUUGUCUGUAUAUUUUCUGUUUGAUUUUUUCUCUAUUUUGUGUUGUACGCUUUUUAUUGAGGAGAUGAGUUUAUAGUAAAAAUGCGACGUGGAAUCCUAGCUACUAGUACUAAAAUGAGUACCGGAUCAACAACAAUUGGUGUCGGAGAGGAUUGCGGAUUUUAAAAAUCUAAUAUCAGAGCAAAUACCAGAUUCCCAACAGAUACUGCGUUCCAUUAAUCGUAAAUCUAAAUUACCUGGGAUUGGGGCAACAUCAUCCCCUUGAUGAAGAACCCAAGCUAAAGCUAGUUGAGCAGGGGUGCACUGAUGCUUCAAGGCUAGGUUUUCCAUUCUCACAUACAAAGGCCUAUUCUUUUCCAAGUUCCCUCCGGAAAACCUCGGAUGUGAUUGCUGUACAAUUCAGAUUCAAAUUUGAAAUUUUAAUCAUGAGUUCCAAACAUGCAUUUAGAACAAAAUUUUGAAAUUUUAGAAGAUUAUUAGUUCAUUACCAGAAACGUAUCUUGUGGUAUUGCUUCUACAACUCCUUUCCCACCAAAAAAGCCGCGGCCGAGGGGGCUGUAAGGAACUAUCCCAAUUCCCAGCUCCCUGCAUUCACAUUUAUAAAUAAAAUUUUGUUUAAAAAUUUGUCGGAUUACAAAUCGAAAAUUCAAUUUUCGAUUUGAUUUGGGAUCGAAAAUACGACUUGUUCGAUCGUAGGCUAAGAAGAUGAUGCGAACCGAACCUGCAAAGCGGCACGAUCUCGGACUCGAUGUCGCGAGUCCAAAGUGACCAUUCCAUCUGAAGUGCGGAGAUUGGGUGCACCGCGUGGGCUCGCCGGAUUGUGUCCGGGCUCGCCUCCGAGAGCCCGAUGUACUUCACUUUCCCCUCCUCCACCAAUUUCUUUAGCUCUCCCAUCUAUUGCAUUUUUUUUUUUUCAACCAAAAAUGUUAAUAUUAAAUUAUACUUAUAGUGACAAUAAUUAAUCCAAAAUUUUUAUAUUAUUAACUUAAAUGGGCCAGCAUCCUGCCUGUGGCGCGUGGGGAGCCAACGAGUCACGUUCGAAAUGGUGUAAGGUCAGAUUAGAUCGAGUCAUAAUUGAGAACUGUGAACACUAUAUUUGUACACUUUAAGUGAAUUAAUUACGUAUUUCUAACGGCUCGAGUUUUCGGGAUUAAUGGAUAGCGUCAACGAUCUGACAAUAUAUAUAUCUUAAAAGGGUAAUUAAUUACUCACGGUCUCCUCAAUGGGCACGGUGGGGUCGAUCCGGUGCUGGUAGUAGAGGUCGAUGUAGUCCACGCCGAGCCUCUCGAGGCUCGCCUCGCAGCAGGCGCGCGCAUACUCGGGCUUACCGUUGAUGUAGUACUGCGUGUUACUCCAUCUACCGCCGGGCAUCACCACCCCGAACUUUGUCGCCAGUUGCACCUUCUCCCUCGGCAGUUGUUUCAGCGCCUGCACGAGUGAUCAUGCAAUCCACAUGCGUUUGGUACUAUCGAGUUACCAAUUCCAGUACGUAUAUAUAUAUGUAUAUACGUAGGGAGAAGAGAGAGAGAGAGAGAGAGAGAAGGGGAUCGAGAAACGAACUUUGCCGACUAAGAUUUCGUUGGUGUGAGGUCCGUAGAGAUCGGAGGUGUCGAAGAAGGUGAUGCCGCUCGCGAAGGCGUGCUUGAUGAUGGCGAUGCCGGCCGCGUCGUCGACCGGAGCGUUGUAUACUCCGGUGAGGCCCAUGCACCCAAACCCUAGCUUAGAUACCUACUCAUAUAUAGAGAGAUUAAUGAAUGUAAUUAAUUAGGAAGUAUAUAUGAUUAAUUAUAUAGUAGUAUGUAAAUAAAUAACUAAUGUUAAUUACCUCUAAUCCCUGGGAGCCCAACUUAACCCUCUCCAUUUCUCUACUUCUCUACUCUACACUAUUUGCUAUAUAUGUAAUGUAUACUCUCUCUCUUUUGCUAUAUAUAGAUAUAAUAUGUUUUGAGUAAGGGUUAUGGUUUGGGGGAGUAAUGGUGGUGGUGACGUCACGGCUUGGCUCAUGCAUUAAUAUAAUAUAUAUUAUAUAUAUAUAUAUAUAUAUAUAUAUAUAUAUAUAUAUAUUUUUUAUUAUGUACUAGUGGGCGCAGCGAAAUAAUAAACGAAUAGAUCUAUGAAUUGGAGAUGCUGUGGGAGUAUCUACGGCAUCUAAAUUAUCAACAGACUCUCGAAGAAUAUUGAAGAUUUGCCCAAGAGUAGCUCUGCUGACCGGAACACUUAUUAGAGGAUCUCCCGUGUCAAUCACUUCAUUCCUCUCGUUCAGCCCAUCUGUAGCACUCAUAGCUACAGCUCUAACUCGAUUAUUUUUUAAUAAUUAUUGUAAUAUAAAAGUUCCAUUUCAUUGGUGAACGGUGGUUAAUUUUUAAUAUUAAUUUUUUUAAAAAAAAUUCUACUUUUAGAUAAAGAUUAUUGUUGUUGGAUAGAGAUAAAAAAUGAACAUAUAAUCAUAAAUUGGGACUUCGCAAUAAGGCGGGGUUUGGAAACUCCCCAUUUUAAAUUUUUUCCAAAUAUAAAAACUGUAAUAAAACAGUCAUCUAAAAGUGUAAAACCUAAAUGCUUCUUCUUUAUUUUUUUUAACAGAAACACAAAAUAUUAUAAUUAAUUAACUCUUGGAAGUUGAAACGGGUACAUUCAGGUUACACUUAAAACGGGACGGAUCGUGGGCGAAAGGGGACUUAAAACACAGCGGUUGUUUUAUUUUUUAUCAGAUCGGAAUGGAUUUUGAAUUGAUUAAUUUUAUCCUAUUCUUUUUAUUCUUACUUUUCACUUUAUUCAGAAUGAAUCAGAACAAAAAUAAAUUUUAAUAAAAUUUUCAACGAACCGGAACAAAUCAAAAAGAAAAAAAAAAAAUCUCCGACUCCCGAGUCAUUUACUUGAACCGCUUGAUUCAUAGCGGUUCACACUUUGACUAGUGGGACCCAUUUCCACCAAUGAGCUCACUGCUGAAGUAAUACUCCCCUUGCCUUGACAAGUGGGAACUAGAAAUGUCAAUAGGUAUGGAUAUUCGAAAUUUUAUCCGAAUCCGAAUUCGAAUCCAAAUAAAACGGAUAUAUCCGAUGGAUAUGGAUAUGGAUAUAGAUUCGGAUAUGGAUAUCAAAAUAAAAAUCCGACGGAUAUGAAUUCGGAUAUGGAUUUUGAUUGUACCCGACCCGACCCCGAACCCGACCCGAACCCAAAUUUAUUUUGUAUUAUAUAAAAUAUAUAUAUAUAUAUAAAUUUGAUGGUAUAUUUGAAUUUGUAUUCUAAAAAUUUAGAUUUAAUAUAAUAUAUUUUGAAAUAUUGAAAAAAGAAAUAAUUGUUUCGGAUUCAAAUUUUCGGGUUUGGGUUCGGGUUCGGAUUUCGAAUUUUUUGUCAGGUUCGGAUUUGGAUAUGGAUUUUUAAAAUCCGUCGGGUUCAGAUUCAGGUUCGGGUCUCGAGUUGACAUCUCUAGUGGGACCCACUUCCACGAGUGAGCUCACUGCUCAAGUAAUGCUCCCUUUCCCUAAUUUAGGAUCAUCUAGGUUCGCAAAUAAUACGAAUACCCGGAAUUUUAUUCAAAUCCGAAUUUAAAAGAAAUAGAUUUAUUUGAUGUUAAAUAAAUAUGAUUUCGGAUAUGUAUAUUAAAAACAAAAACACGGUAGAUAUGGCUUCAUAUAUGAAUUUUGACUGUACCCGACCUGAAUCCGAAUUUAUUUUAUAUUUUAUAUAAUAUAUGUAUAUAAAAAUUUGAUAUUAUAUUUGAAUUUGUAUUUAAAAAGUUUAGAUUUAAUAUAAUAUAUUUUAAAAUAUUGAACAGAGAAAUAAUUAUUUUGGGUUCAAAUUUUCGGAUUCGAGUCCGGCCGGGUUCGGAUUCGGAUUUUUUUAAAAGUCCGUUCCGAAUCUGAUCCGUUGACAUCCCUACCGAUCAUCUAAUUGCCAUUGCGAGGUGAUUGUGUUGUAUACAUACAAUAAAAAAUAAGAUAAAACAAACAAAUUUUAACUUUUAUAUGCUCCCGUCUCGAAUUUUUUUAUUUAAUAGUAUUAAAUAUUUCGAGUUCGGCUACUAUGCUAUCAAUAACAUCAAGCACUUUGUGCUAUUAAGUUUUCCACUGUUAAAUCUAUUUCUUUGACGUUUUCCAACCGCUGUUAAAUCGUACUAUUCAAUCAACCACCCACUCAACCUUAGUAGAUCACUAUUAUCUGAACCGUUCAUCUCUUAAUCUAAGAGCCGAAAACCUAAUAGCAAAAAUGACUUGGUGUUAUUAGGACUUGGUUUGGUUCGGGUAUAAGCAAGAACUAGUUAUACCGGGGAUAGAUACAAAUAUGGGUUUUCGUAGGAAUAAGGGUAUUUUUUUUUGUUUGGAUAACAAUAUGAGUAUAAGCUGGAACUAGAAAAAUUAUGUUUGGAUGAAAAUGUAAGUAUAAGGUGGAAUAGUUGGUAGUUAUAAAUAGAAAAUAAUGAUAUUAACCCUAUAAUUAUUUUAAAUUUUUAAACUGAAAAUUUUAAAUUGAAAAUUUUAACUUUUAAAUUAUAAAUUUUGAAAUUAGAUUUAAAAUUUUAAUUUUCAAAAUUUUAAUUUUAAAUAUCUGAUUUUAAAUUUAAGACCAAAUUUAAAUUUGAAUGAUAGAUGAAAAAUAUCAAUUAAAAUUUAAAACUAAAAAUAUCAUGAUUCAAAAUUUAAAUUUAAAAUCAAAUUAAAAUUUAAUUUUAUAUUAUUAAUUUAAAAUUAUAAUAUUAAUUUUAGAAAUUUAACUUUAAAAUAAA
rnacentral:lncRNA from 1 species